rnacentral:rRNA from 1 species
CUGCUGCCUCCCGUAGGAGUCUGGUCCGUGUCUCAGUACCAGUGUGGGGGGCCUUCCUCUCAGAACCCCUACGCAUCGUCGGAACGGUGGUCCGUCACACCGCCGUCUUCCUAAUGCGCCGCAUGCCCAUCCCCGCCCGCCCAAAAGGGCGUUCCUCCCCCGGGGAUGCCCCCAGGGGAUGUACGCGGUAUCAGCCCCCCUUUCGGAGGGUUGUACCCCUGGCGGGGCAGGUUGCAUACGUGUUACUCACCCGUGCGCCGGUCGCCGGCGGGACGCGCAAGCGCCG